rnacentral:rRNA from 1 species
GACAUAAGUAACGAUAAAGCGGGUGAAAAGCCCGCUCGCCGGAAGACCAAGGGUUCCUGUCCAACGUUAAUCGGGGCAGGGUGAGUCGACCCCUAAGGCGAGGCCGAAAGGCGUAGUCGAUGGGAAACAGGUUAAUAUUCCUGUACUUGGUGUUACUGCGAAGGGGGGACGGAGAAGGCUAUGUUGGCCGGGCGACGGUUGUCCCGGUUUAAGCGUGUAGGCUGAUUUUCCAGGCAAAUCCGGAAAAUCAAGGCUGAGGCGUGAUGACGAGGCACUACGGUGCUGAAGCAACAAAUGCCCUGCUUCCAGGAAAAGCCUCUAAGCAUCAGGUAACAUCAAAUCGUACCCCAAACCGACACAGGUGGUCAGGUAGAGAAUACCAAGGCGCUUGAGAGAACUCGGGUGAAGGAACUAGGCAAAAUGGUGCCGUAACUUCGGGAGAAGGCACGCUGAUAUGUAGGUGAAGCGACUUGCUCGUGGAGCUGAAAUCAGUCGAAGAUACCAGCUGGCUGCAACUGUUUAUUAAAAACACAGCACUGUGCAAACACGAAAGUGGACGUAUACGGUGUGACGCCUGCCCGGUGCCGGAAGGUUAAUUGAUGGGGUUAGCGGUAACGCGAAGCUCUUGAUCGAAGCCCCGGUAAACGGCGGCCGUAACUAUAACGGUCCUAAGGUAGCGAAAUUCCUUGUCGGGUAAGUUCCGACCUGCACGAAUGGCGUAAUGAUGGCCAGGCUGUCUCCACCCGAGACUCAGUGAAAUUGAACUCGCUGUGAAGAUGCAGUGUACCCGCGGCAAGACGGAAAGACCCCGUGAACCUUUACUAUAGCUUGACACUGAACAUUGAGCCUUGAUGUGUAGGAUAGGUGGGAGGCUUUGAAGUGUGGACGCCAGUCUGCAUGGAGCCGACCUUGAAAUACCACCCUUUAAUGUUUGAUGUUCUAACGUUGGCCCGUUAUCCGGGUUGCGGACAGUGUCUGGUGGGUAGUUUGACUGGGGCGGUCUCCUCCUAAAGAGUAACGGAGGAGCACGAAGGUUGGCUAAUCCUGGUCGGACAUCAGGAGGUUAGUGCAAUGGCAUAAGCCAGCUUGACUGCGAGCGUGACGGCGCGAGCAGGUGCGAAAGCAGGUCAUAGUGAUCCGGUGGUUCUGAAUGGAAGGGCCAUCGCUCAACGGAUAAAAGGUACUCCGGGGAUAACAGGCUGAUACCGCCCAAGAGUUCAUAUCGACGGCGGUGUUUGGCACCUCGAUGUCGGCUCAUCACAUCCUGGGGCUGAAGUAGGUCCCAAGGGUAUGGCUGUUCGCCAUUUAAAGUGGUACGCGAGCUGGGUUUAGAACGUCGUGAGACAGUUCGGUCCCUAUCUGCCGUGGGCGCUGGAGAACUGAGGGGGGCUGCUCCUAGUACGAGAGGACCGGAGUGGACGCAUCACUGGUGUUCGGGUUGUCAUGCCAAUGGCACUGCCCGGUAGCUAAAUGCGGAAGAGAUAAGUGCUGAAAGCAUCUAAGCACGAAACUUGCCCCGAGAUGAGUUCUCCCUGACUCCUUGAGAGUCCUGAAGGAACGUUGAAGACGACGACGUUGAUAGGCCGGGUGUGUAAGCGCAGCGAUGCGUUGAGCUAACCGGUACUAAUGAACCGUGAGGCUUAACCUU